UACAGAGGGGGCAAGCGUUGUUCGGAAUUACUGGGCGUAAAGGGCGCGUAGGCGGCCUGUUAAGUCGGACGUGAAAUCCCUCGGCUCAACCGGGGAACUGCGUCCGAUACUGGCGGGCUUGAAUUCGGGAGAGGGAUGUGGAAUUCCAGGUGUAGCGGUGAAAUGCGUAGAUAUCGGGAGGAACACCUGAGGCGAAGGCGGGCUACUGGGCCGAUACUGACGCUGAUGCGCGAAAGCCAGGGGAGCGAACGGG
rnacentral:rRNA from 1 species